GGCGGGUCCGGCUCCCGGGAUCCAGGAGCGGAGAAAGGGAGCUGGCCAGGAGCGGCCCAGGUCUAGGCGCCCACACGAGGGUGGGACCCUGGGAGGACUCUGCCGCCGCCUUGGAGCCUCGGUCCCGGGCUGCCUGUCCCCUGGAACCGCCAGGGCGGUCCCCACAGCGCCCACCGCCCGACCCCGCUGUCCCGGUUCUCAGCUGAGGGCUUUCCUCAGUGGAGCUGCUGUUCACAGCUGGGUGGGUUUUGAUUUGCAGGGUCCUGUUCAGGAUGCGGUGGCCUCAGCAAAGUGGCCUGGGCCGCGGACCUCAGAGGAGAAGAGGUGGCCUGACCCGCAGGCCCCCUGGAGAGUGGGAGGGCGACUGAGGAGCCCAGUGUGACCUGGGGAGCAGGAGGCCGGUUUAAAAGAGAGACCCGCCCAGGUAUUUCAGGUCUCACUGACUCUGUGUCCUUUUGUUUUCCUGUCGCACCUGUGAAUUUUGUUUUAAG
rnacentral:lncRNA from 1 species